rnacentral:rRNA from 1 species
AUUGAACGCUGGCGGCAGGCCUAACACAUGCAAGUCGAACGAGUGGCGGACGGGUGAGUAAUGUCUGGGAAACUGCCCGAUGGAGGGGGAUAACUACUGGAAACGGUAGCUAAUACCGCAUACCAUCUGAUGUGCCCAGAUGGUAUUAGCUCGUAGGUGGGGUAACGGCUCACCUGGGCGACGAUCCCUAGCUGGUCUGAGAGGAUGACCAGCAACAUGGGAACUGAUACACGGUCCAGAUUCCUACGGGAGGCAGCAGUGGGGAAUAUUGCAGAAUGGGCGCAAGCCUGAUGCAGCCAUGCCGCUUGUAUGAAGAAGGCCUUCGGGUUGUAAAGUACUUUCAGCGAGGAGGCGUUACUCGCAGAAGAAGCACCGGCUAACUCCGUGCCAGCAGCCGCGGUAAUUC